UGCAAUCUCAGGUCUAAAGGAUACAUAUACCCAUAUCCACUCGGAACAAUUCUUGACAAGAGAGAGUCUAUCAAUUGGUCACGUUCAGUGAACGUACACUACCAUUCACCUGUAUACCAUACUAGUAUCUCUAUACUCUUUGGUUUGGAAGACAACUAACAAAUAUGAUACACAAUGACCUACGCCCGAUAAUACUAUCGUCCUAUUAAUAGUAUAUCAUACGGUCAUGAACAUUUAGGUGAAUGGUAUGAGCCCCCGGGUGGAGAGCCACGCUUCGUCACACGAUCACGCGUGAGAGCUCCCGGGAAUCGGAUAAUCUCCACUAAUCUUUUGCUUUGACACCAAAUAUCACAAAGCCCUCAGAUCCCGAGGAUUGUGUGAUUCAAAUAAAUAUGCAUAAAUCACAAUUUCUUGUGAUUUGAAGAUUGAGAUCAUAUCUCAACCAUAAUUGAGAUCAUAUCUCAACCAUAAAAGAGAUCAGAUCUCUUACCUUUAGAAGGAGGUUCCUUCAAGGAUGCUUCGCAGCCGCACAAGUGUCCGGCCUCGAUAAUUCGUCCACGCGAAGCUCUGGAAUCAUCAGCUUCCCGGGGAGUGCUGGCUCACAGGGAGGCAGAAGGUUGGCUGAAAGGGAGAAGAAGGAAGAAGAUGGACCUUCACAGCUCAAGAACUCCUUCUUGGGCUUUCACCUUCAGAACUACUCUCUCCUCUCACUCUCUUUCUCUGGUGCUCUUGAUCUAAAGAAGAAGGAAGAGGGGUGGCCUAUUUAUAGGCCAAGAAGAAGGUGAGGUGUCCCUAUGAGGUGUCCUGUGAGGUGUCCUGCCAGGACACAUGUCACACAUGCAAGAAAAAGAGGUGUUCUGCUCCGCCAUGUGUCACGCAUGCAAAGGGGUGAGGUGGCCUGGAGGGCGAUGUCAUGGAU
rnacentral:lncRNA from 1 species